GACGAACGCUGGCGGCGUGCCUAAUACAUGCAAGUCGAGCGAUGAAGAUUGGUGCUUGCACCAAUUUGAAGAGCAGCGAACGGGUGAGUAACGCGUGGGGAAUCUGCCUUUGAGCGGGGGACAACAUUUGGAAACGAAUGCUAAUAUCGCAUAACAACUUUAAACAUAAGUUUUAAGUUUGAAAGAUGCAAUUGCAUCACUCAAAGAUGAUCCCGCGUUGUAUUAGCUAGUUGGUGAGGAAAAGGCUGAUCAAGGCGAUGAUACAUAGCCGAGCUGGGAGGGUGGUCCGCCACAAUGGGACUGGAAACAGGCCCAAACUCCUACGGGGAGCAGCAAGAGGGGAUUUUUGGAAAUGGGGGAAAGGCUGGCCGAGCAACGCCGGGGGAGUGAAGAAGGGUUUCGGAUCGUAAAACUCUGUUGGUAGAGAAGAAAGUUGGUGAGGGUGGAAAGCUCAUCAAGUGACGGUAACUACCCAGAAAGGAACGGCUAACUACGUG
rnacentral:rRNA from 1 species